AGCGCAGACGGUUGAUUAAGUCUGAUGUGAAAGCCCGGAGCUCAACUCCGGAAUGGCAUUGGAAACUGGUUAACUUGAGUGCAGUAGAGGUAAGUGGAACUCCAUGUGUAGCGGUGGAAUGCGUAGAUAUAUGGAAGAACACCAGUGGCGAAGGCGGCUUACCGGACUGUAACUGACGUUGAGGCUCGAAAGUGUGGGUAGCAAACA
rnacentral:rRNA from 1 species